rnacentral:ncRNA from 1 species
CACCGUCUUGGUCCUAAACAUAACGUUACUUAUAACUGAUCUUAUACAUGCAAGUAUCCGCAACCCAGUGCAUAUAGCCUACCCACAAACUGAGCAGAUAUCAGGCACACAUCCGUAGCCCACAACAUCUAGCUACGCCACACCCCCACGGAACACAGCAGUAAUAAACAUUAAGCCAUGAGCCCACUAUUUUAACCAAGCUCGACUUAGAUACAGCUACCAAUCCCGGCCGGUAAACUCCGUGCCAGCCACCGCGGUUACACGAAGGGCCUCAAAUAACCCUACACGGCGUAAAACGUGACUAGAGGCGAAUUUUAAGCAUGGGCCCACAACCUAGAUAUAGUAGUAAAAUACAUCUAUCAAAAGGAAUUUAACCCCACCCCAAUUAACAAACCACCUUUGACCACACGAAAUCUGAGAAACAAACUAGGAUUAGAUACCCUAUUAUGCCCAGACAUAAACCCAGGCAGACACCUUACCCCCUCUGCCCGCCAGAGAAUUACACGCACCUAAACGUAAAACUCAAAGGACUUGACGGUGUCUCAUACCGCCCUAGAGGAGCCUGUCCUUUAAUCGAUAAUCCACGCUACACCUCACCCCUCAUUGCAAAAUUUCAUUUCAACCUAUAUACCGCCGUCGCCAGCUUACCUUCUGAGAGCCAACCAAGUAAGCUAAAUAGUUCAACACUAAAACGUCAGGUCAAGGUGUAGUUUAUUGAGGGGCAGCGAUGGGCUACAUUUUCUAUAUCAGAAGCCCCCAGCAAUAUGAAAUUAAUGCCUUAAGACGGAUUUAGCAGUAAAUAAGGCAAGAUACGCCUAAUUGAAGGCCGCCCUGAGACGCGUACACACCGCCCGUCACCCUCCUCAACAAACCAGACGUAAUUAACUAAAUAACUACUUAUUUCCUUAGAUGAGGCAAGUCGUAACAUGGUAAGUGUACUGGAAAGUGCACUUGGCACAAC